rnacentral:rRNA from 1 species
UACGGAGGGUGCAAGCGUUAUCCGGAUUCACUGGGUUUAAAGGGCGCGUAGGCGGAUAAUGACGUGCGAUGUGAAAGCCCUGGGCUUAACCUAGGAAGUGCAUCGCAAACGAAUGAUCUGGAGUAUAAGAGAGGGUGGCGGAAUUUCCGGUGUAGCGGUGAAAUGCGUAGAGAUCGGAAGGAACGUCGAUGGCGAAGGCAGCCACCUGGCUUAAUACUGACGCUGAGGCGCGAAAGCGUGGGUAGCGAACAGG